rnacentral:rRNA from 1 species
CGCCCUACGGGGGGCAGCAGUAGGGAAUUUUCGUCAAUGGGCGCAAGCCUGAACGAGCAAUGCCGCGUGAACGAGGAAGGUCUUCGGAUCGUAAAGUUCUGUUGAAGGGGAAAAAGAGCGGAGAGAGGAAAUGGUCUCCGAUUGAUAUUACCCUUCGAGGAAGUCACGGCUAACUACGUGCCAGCAGCCGCGGUAAUACAUAGGAUGCAAGCGUUAUCCGGAUUUACUGGGCGUAAAACGAGCGCAGGCGGGGUAACAAGUUUGGUAUGAAAGGCUUUUGCUUAACGAAAGUUU